GGAGAUAUGGCUCAAAUGCUAAGAGCACUGGCUGCUCUUCCAUGAAUCCUGGGUUCAAUUCCCAGCAUCACCU
rnacentral:tRNA from 2 species